UACGAAGGGGGCUAGCGUUGCUCGGAAUCACUGGGCGUAAAGGGUGCGUAGGCGGGUCUUUAAGUCAGGGGUGAAAUCCUGGAGCUCAACUCCAGAACUGCCUUUGAUACUGAGGAUCUUGAGUACGGGAGAGGUGAGUGGAACUGCGAGUGUAGAGGUGAAAUUCGUAGAUAUUCGCAGGAACACCAGUGGCGAAGGCGGCUUACUGGUCCGAUACUGACGCUGAGGUGCGAAAGCGUGGGGAGCAAACAGG
rnacentral:rRNA from 1 species